rnacentral:rRNA from 1 species
GAUGAACGCUGGCGGCGUGCCUAAUACAUGCAAGUCGAGCGAACGGACGAGAAGCUUGCUUUUCUGAUGUUAGCGGCGGACGGGUGAGUAACACGUGGAUAACCUACCUAUAAGACUGGGAUAACUUCGGGAAACCGGAGCUAAUACCGGAUAAUAUUUUGAACCGCAUGGUUCAAAAGUGAAAGACGGUCUUGCUGUCACUUAUAGAUGGAUCCGCGCUGCAUUAGCUAGUUGGUAAGGUAACGGCUUACCAAGGCGACGAUGCAUAGCCGACCUGAGAGGGUGAUCGGCCACACUGGAACUGAGACACGGUCCAGACUCCUACGGGAGGCAGCAGUAGGGAAUCUUCCGCAAAGGGCGAAAGCCUGACGGAGCAACGCCGCGUGAGUGAUGAAGGUCUUCGGAUCGUAAAACUCUGUUAUUAGGGAAGAACAUAUGUGUAAGUAACUGUGCACAUCUUGACGGUACCUAAUCAGAAAGCCACGGCUAACUACGUG